rnacentral:tRNA from 1 species
GCUAUUUUGGCAGAUAAGUGCGGUGGAUUUAGAAUCUAUUUAUGCGUCUUUUUUUUGGCGCUUGUAGUA